rnacentral:rRNA from 1 species
UACGUAGGGUCCGAGCGUUGUCCGGAAUUACUGGGCGUAAAGAGCUCGUAGGUGGUUUGUCGCGUUGUUCGUGAAAACUCACAGCUUAACUGUGGGCGUGCGGGCGAUACGGGCAGACUAGAGUACUGCAGGGGAGACUGGAAUUCCUGGUGUAGCGGUGAAAUGCGCAGAUAUCAGGAAGAACACCCGUGGCGAAGGCGGCUCUCUGGGACGGUACUGACGCUGAGACGCGAAAGCGUGGGGAGCGAACAGG